CUUCAAUGCUUUGGUUCAAGAUCUGGCAGCCGACAUCUCGAUGCUGAAAUCCACUUCCACACGAUGCCGAACACUGCAAGAUUUGCAAAGUGGUGUUCUGCAAACCCUCAUCAACAUGAUGCAAGACCAAGAAGAUACAGAUCCAUUCAUAAGGAGCAAAGGAGUUAGACCAGACGAAUAUAUGGAGAUGAAAGCACCUUGUGUUUCCUCCGCAGAGUUGCUAACAAAAGACUAUGGAUUCUAAUCACUAUGUACCUGGAAUGACCGCAGGGAAAGUUAUGGAUGAAAGCCUCGUUGACUGGAGUUGCUGUGCGCUAUCUGCUUAACCUCCGAAUAACCUUCAACACAGAUAGCCACAUCUCUGUUCAAGAAGGAACUGCAGAUGCUGGAAAUUGAAGAGUGACCGUGUAGAGGAACGUCAUCACUUCACCACCAAUUGCCACAGGUGGAACCUCUCUGCUAUUUGAGCGUCUGCUAUGUAAGGCCACACUGACUUUGGAAUAGACAGUAGGCAGUCAGAAACUUUUGCCCAGCCAAAUACAGGGCAUAACUUUAAGAUACCACUGAAUAAAUCCAGCAACUGCCGUUUGCAUUUCCAAUUUACAGUAAGGCAGAAUGCAAAUAGAUGUCAAUCGGAAGAGACGACUGAAGUCUGAAUGGGUGGCGUCUUCAGGCUGAGAGUCAGGGGAGGGGGAAACUAGAGUUUACAAAAGAUCCAGAGUCCAAACAGGUUGCAGGAGGUGCCUCAAAUAUUGAACAGCUUGACACAAGGAUGAGCGGAAAAGUUCAGAGAGAUGUCACCAGACACACAGAGGGUGUGUGUGGCUGGGCUUUUAAGUUCACCCUGGUCACUUCACCAUCCGGGAUGAAGAUUUCAGUCUUCAACUGAGCGAGAUCAUCCACUGAAAACUGGCAGUGAUUCGUGCUAUUGAGGGAGUACAGCGUAGGUUUACAAGGUUAAUUCCCGGGAUGUCUGGACUGUCAUAUGCUGAGAGAAUGGAGCGGC